UACGAAGGGGGCUAGCGUUGCUCGGAAUCACUGGGCGUAAAGCGCACGUAGGCGGCUUUCUAAGUCAGGGGUGAAAUCCUGGAGCUCAACUCCAGAACUGCCUUUGAUACUGGAGAGCUUGAGUCCGGAAGAGGUGAGUGGAACUGCGAGUGUAGAGGUGAAAUUCGUAGAUAUUCGCAAGAACACCAGUGGCGAAGGCGGCUCACUGGUCCGGUACUGACGCUGAGGUGCGAAAGCGUGGGGAGCAAACAGG
rnacentral:rRNA from 1 species